UCAUGACUGGGGUGAAGUCGUAACAAGGUAGCCCUAGGGGAACCUGGGGCUGGAUCACCUCCUUAACGA
rnacentral:rRNA from 1 species